rnacentral:rRNA from 1 species
AGGCUACACACGUGCUACAAGUGGGCGGUAACGAAAGGGUUGCAAUACCGUAAGGUGGAGCUAACUCCCAAAAAGCCGCUCUCAGUUCAGAUUAGAGUCUGCAACUCGACUCUAUGAAGGCGGAAUCGCUAGUAAUCGCGGAUCAGCAUGCCGCGGUGAAUACGUUCCCGGGCCUU